UACGAAGGUGCCCAAGCGUUAUCCGGAUUUAUUGGGUUUAAAGGGUGGCGUAGGCGGGCUAUUAAGUCAGUGGUGAAAGCCUCCAAGCUUAAACUUGGAGAAUUGCCAUUUGAUAACUGAUGACCUUGAGUACAUUUGGAAGUGGGCGGAAUGUGUCAUGAUAGCGGUGAAAUGCUUAGAUAUGACACAGAACACCCGGAUUGCGUAGGCAGCUCACUAAACUGUACUGGACGCUGAGGCACGAAAGCGUGGGGAGCAAACAGG
rnacentral:rRNA from 1 species